UCCUCUUCAUAAUCAUGGUUCAAUAUUUUGGAAGAAUUUCAAGUAAUCGAUCGAUGGAAGCUGAAUACACUGUAGAUGUGUAGCAUACAUUCUGGUUCUAAUGUUAAUUAUAGAAUUAAAUGUCAUGCCAUCAGAUGCCAUGACACUAUACUGCAAAGAUAAUGACACCAUAGUCCUUGCUAAGGAGCCUAGGUCUCACCA
rnacentral:lncRNA from 1 species